UUCAACCCUCAAGCUCUGCUUGGUGUUGGGCCCCGCCCGCUCGCGGCCGGCCCUAAAGACAGUGGCGGCGGCGUCUGGCUCCAAGCGUAGUACAGCUGUCGCUCUGGGGCUAGGCGGUAGCCUGCCAGAACCCCCUUCUAU
rnacentral:misc_RNA from 1 species